UCAACAAUCCUCAGAUACACUGAGCCAGUUUUGACGCUUUCUCUGUCUCUGUCUCUCUCUUCCUCUCCCUCUCUCACUAUGUAGUACAGGCUGGCAAACUGGCUCCAUACUCUUGAUUCCUCUGUCUCAGUUUCUCAAGUAUGCAAUACUGUGUCUGGCCUCUGAAACUACUCAUUAUUGAAGGACAACGUAACCAACUAAGAACAGAAAGCAUGGAUGCGAAUAUAGUUGAUUAAAACAGAAAUGAGAUCAUCCAUUCCUCUUUGGCAUUCAGGUUAUUUUGUGUAAUCUUAAUCUAAAUAAUUAAAUACCUGUCAUCUGCUAUUCAUCAAAGAAAAGAUCACCUGGCCAGCAACAUGGUUCCUCAGGUUCUUUGAUGUGAAGAAAGAAUCUCAGCUUCCAGAGUGGUGAUAAUGGAAUUUCUUUUCCAGUCAGACUCUUCAUAUAUAAUCCAACCAUGUCAUAAUCCUUCUGACUUCCUUCCGACUCCCUGAUGCAGGCCGCGCGCUAACGACAGAGCCUGCACUGAGGAGACACUGUUGGAGAGAGAAAACGAGCCAAGUGUUUCAUCUCAUAAUAAAAGCAACUAAACCAUGUUGGGGUUGGUGGAAGAUAAAAACUAUAAAGUCCUAUUUUAUAGCUCCUCUCAUUACUUAGCUAUACAAUAAGAAACUCUUUAGAUUUCUUUUGAGGAGAGAAUGUAUACAUAAUAAUAAUAAUCUGUAAAACUAUAGCUAUGUGCAUUAAAAUAGAACAUGCUUAUAUUACAAACAAAUUUAAUGAUUACAUGCUAUCAGUCAUGUUAUAUAUCAACUGUAAAGUAUAUUUGAGCAGGUAAAAUAAUAUCUAAUGAAAUAGCUAAAAGGCCACUUAAAAUCAGCUUCAAAACAGUGCAUUUAUCCGUGAAGAUCUGAAGAUAAAUGAGUUUGUUAUUCAUGACAUCUAAUAAGUUAUCCUGUCAAUACUCACAGCAUAAUUGGAUAGAGUACAAUUUGCAUGGAAAAAUAAGAGAUUAAAAGAUUCCAAAACCAAAUUUAGUUAUUUCUAUAAAUAUUAGCAUCAAUCAAAGCUUUUAAGGUUAAGACUAACAGAGUUGAGAGGAUCAAUUAAAAAGUAUUAAACCUUUUUGAAAACUAUAAAUCCCAUUAUAACUCAGCUGUUUCUAAUUGAGCAUCUAUUGUGUACAAAAUUCUCUGAGAGGACAAGAGUUUCAAUGCAAUGGAUCUGAAUUCAUUGGUGCAGGUGAUGGCAGCUGAAUCCAAGGAUGAGAAAGGUAGGGUUUGGCCACUGAGAGGUGAGGUAAGGGCCUCUGUCAUUAGAAGCAGCCACAGUUCUGCUUCGUGGAGGAUGCAGAGUGUGAAGAUAGAGAGUGUGGCUUAUGCAGUUCGAAAGAAAGGGCUGGGGUACCACUUCGACAGGGUAAGAGGAAUAGAGAUUACGAGAUAAAAAUAUGGCCCAGGAGUAGUACUAAUGAGACUAUUUCUCUUCUUCAUACUUACAGAGACAAAAGUGACUGUCAUCAUUACUAUAUAUUUAAACAUUUCUAUUAUCUAUAAGUCAUACUAGUAUCUAUGAUUUUUAUAUGAUCCACUGAAGAGACCAGUUAUGAUUGGUGGUAUUCCAGUAUUACAGAUAAAGACAAUGUUUUGAGAGGGAGAGAGAGAAAUUACUUAUUCAUAGUCACAUAUCUAGAAAAUAUGAAUAUGCAUGCUGUGGAUAUCACUCUGGGUAAAUAAAAUGCUGAUUGGCCAGUAGCCAGGCAGGAAGUAUA